rnacentral:lncRNA from 1 species
GUCUUGGGAAUCCUUGAUUAACAGGUGGGGGAUUUGUACUGUCUAUUGCUGGUCGUAGAUAAGGGCGCAUCAUCUGGUUUGGAGGUGAAAAUUCCUGAGAACCAAAUUGACCAGCUGGCCUGGAAACAACUUGAGAGGCUGGAUUCUGUGGAUGGUGAGGCUGGAAUGUAAAAUCAAUACUGGUCUGCAGUGGUUUUGGAGUUCCAGAGGAAGGAGGUCUCAUAGAAUUAAUAUUAAGAGAACUUCCAGGAGUUGGAUUAGGUGAGAGAUUAUGCAUGACUGGUUGUCCGCUAGAUACAGGGUGGUUCAAGAAAUGAGCAGGGGUAGAUCCUGAAGAUGGAUGCAUUGGAGGAGGCAUACGUGUUUGAGAUUGAAAAACAGAAUUAGUAGAUGGAGUUGGUCCAGAUGACUGGGGUGCUAAAUUAUGGCCACGCGAAACAUCUAUAUGUGGACCUGUAGAGACACCCAUUGGUCGUGAAGAAAGAUGAUGACUUCCUUGACCUGUCUGGGUGUUCCAUGGUGACUGUGACCAUCCAGGAGAGCUCCCGCCUGGGGUCAAUGGCCGGUCUGAGUAUGCCAUAGGAGGGAUAGACUGAGGCGUUGAAGACAUAACAGAUCUCAACCCCUGUGGAAACCCUGUUGGAUUCGGUUGGCUCUGAGAAAAUUGAGGUGGAGUCAUAUUGGAUUGAGUUGGUGUGGACCCUAAAGAUGGCAUCGGAUGUCUAGGUCCACCAAUUUGUCCGAGGUGAGUGGAAGGCAUGAAAGGCUGCCGCAUUAGUGGUGGUGCCUGUGGGCUAGAGUUAACAAAAGGGUUUCGCGGAACUGAACCAAAUCCAUCUGCCAUACCCUGUGGUGGGCCAAAGGGUGAGGGUGCAUUUGACGGGUUGGUAGGUAAUGGAGAUACUUGGUGAGGGUUGCUGACCAGGGAUGCUGAAGAACUCCAGGAGUUAAUGGGUCCUGGAAAUGGAGUUACUGGAUUCUGAGAUGCAGGUUCAGGAAACCAUUGUCCUUGAUAUGGCUGAAAAUGACCUUGUAAUUGAGUAGGUUGCAUCCCCACAACUGGUUGAGCCACCCCUUGAUUUACUACAGGAGGCGUCGUUGGGCCAGGUGUUGCUUCACCGGAAAUAGUUUCUCCAUCACCUGACGUUUUUGUGGUAGUCGACGCUGGAGUCACCUGAGAGCCAAAUGGAACACUCAACUUUAUGACACAACCAAAACGAAGUUUCAAGAAAAACGUUAUUGCACGGAAAAAGGAAAAAAGCUGAAUUGCCACACUGACAUUGACAAUAAUACCGAGUAAAACACAUCAUACUUCUGUUUAGUGUUUACUUACUGAAGCUGGGGUAACCAGAAGUUCAAUUAAAGCAACUGCAGCGUCAACCUUUUCAUAUGUCUCAGCUGAUACUUGGACAUACAUUUCCUCAUAAGCACCAGAGUCAUUUUCACCAGAAGUAGCUUCUAUCUGGGACAGAUGUAACACAAAGGUUAAAUUUCAAGAUAUCAAGUUGAAUAAUAGGAACUUGCCGUUGCCGCUCGUAUAUGAGACUUGAUGGUCCGAAAACGACGAUAGAUUGCAUACUGGAAGCCAGUACGACAUAGAUUUUAUAAAGCUCCUGUUCAGAGGUGUUCAAAUGCCCAUCUAAACAUCUAUUUGAAGAAUUACCUAGUCUAAGCUAGCGUUUGGACAUAGAUUUGAUUGAAACUUGAAAAAAGAGUUUUUGAAGUUAUGCUGAAAAAUAAUUUUUGAAAGUUGAAGUUGUGUUUGGACAUGCAUUUUAUUUGAUGAAAAGUUGAAGUUUUGUGAGUGGAAGAAAAAAUUUCACCCAAAAACUGCCCUAAACCAGUUUUGGGAACUUGAAAUUUCUGAAUUUUUCCCCCAAAACAUGAUCAUAUUUCAUAAACAAACAAUGUUUUCAAAAAAAAUGAAAAAAUAAAGCCAAAAUCUAUGGCCAAACGGGAGCUAAAAUAUAAAUGACGGAUUGAAUUGGGGGCAUUACCUUCUCUCCAGUAUCUGAUUUGGUACCAUAAACCUUUACUUGAGCUCCAGUUUCCUGGUUUUCAGUAAUAAAAAACACUCAAUGACCAGGAACUCUUUUGACUACUGUGCGAUCUACUCAAUAAGUAGAACUUCAAGGUCUUGGAUGCUAGAAAUUAAUUACCUUUUCCAGUUGCUUAUGAGCAGGGCCAAAAAUCAAACCUAUAAAAUUGUACCCAGGAUGUUCUUUGAUCUGCAUUGAAAACAUGUAGAGAUGCCUCAUGAAGAUCUACCACUUCACCUUUAAUGAGAAUUAUGCUUAGUCUUACAGGAAUCUAAUUUCAUGUCUCUUGAUUAAUAUGCUUUCGAAUUCCCAUACUUGUAUCAUACAGCUUGACCUUAAAUAAGUUAAUACAUCAAUAAAGCAAAGCUUAGCUCUUGGCAAUCAGUCUAAACUAAAAGAUACGACAAUCAAAAAGGUGUACAUCUGCCUCUUCAUAUUUAAGCUGCUCCUUUUUGUUGUGGAAGCAAGAGUUGGGGCAAGGAGACAGAAAACAAUUUCUCCAUUAAUCACCCACAGUGCAUAGUUUUUCUUGUUUUGCAUGGCAAGCAAUCAUGCUUAUCGAUAUCAACGCAUUUUCAAAUCUUAUAAGAUUUUAGUAGUAGUUACUACUUACUAGAGUAGUAAUUUUAAGCCGAGAAGUGUAGUCUAAUAAAAUACAGAGAUCCUUAAAGUUGCUGCAGUUAAUAAGAAUUCGAAAAAUUAAGAAUCAACUCACAGAACCAAAAUGGAAGCUACUAUAAGGAGAAAAUAAAAAAGAAAAAAGAAAAAACACAAAGUGCCAGAAACUGCAUUAAACUUACAGGUAAUGGGAUCUUUGCCUCCUUGGGUACAGGCUUAUAACCAGCAGGUGGCUUAUAGCUGGGAUUCAGUUUUAGAAUCUCCCCUGAAAAUGUAUAAAAACAGGUAAUUUGUAUGGUAUACUUGAUAAUGGAAGAGUAAAAGUCAGUGACUCAAGGGAUCAAUCACAACAUACCAAUGGCUUCCCGUCUUUCAAGUUCCAGUGAACACACACUCUACAUCCACAGAAGACAUCAGCUUUUGAAGCUAACCCAAGCAAAAUUUGCAACUAAAAAAUCUUAUAAAUUAUUUUACCUCAUCAUCAGGUUGAUGAUCCGAAGACUCAUGAUCGUUAGCAGGGGAGGCUGACAAUGCGUCCUUGCUGCCUUCACCCUCCAAUGUCCU